CCUGACCCAGCAACGCCGCGUGAAGGAUGAAAUCCCUCUGGGAAUGUAAACUUCGAAAGUCGGGAAAGAAAUCGCCAUGGAGAAUACCUGUGGUGGAUGACGGUACCCGACGUAAGCCCCGGCUAACUACGUGCCAGCAGCCGCGGUAAUACGUAGGGGGCAAGCGUUGUUCGGAAUUACUGGGCGUAAAGGGCGCGUAGGCGGCAUGGCAAGUCGGGAGUGAAAGCCCGGGGCUCAACCCCGGAACUGCUUUCGAAACUGCCAAGCUAGAGUACGGAAGGGGCAACUGGAAUUCCCAGUGUAGCGGUGAAAUGCGUAGAUAUUGGGAAGAACACCGGAGGCGAAGGCGGGUUGCUGGGCCGAUACUGACGCUGAGGCGCGAAAGCCAGGGGAGCAAACGGGAUUAGAUACCCCGGUAGUCCUGGCCCUAAACGAUGGAUACUUGGUGUGUGGGGUUCUCAAAGUCCCCGCGUGCCGGAGCUAACGCGUUAAGUAUCCCGCCUGGGGAGUACGGUCGCAAGGCUG
rnacentral:rRNA from 1 species